rnacentral:rRNA from 1 species
CAAUACUUGAGCUAGAGUGUCGUACGGGUGCGUAACACGUAUGCAACCUACCUUUACAGGAGUAUAGCUCCCCGAAAGGGGAAUUAACCCUCCAUAAUAUCAUUGGAUGGCAUCAUUUGAUGAUUAAAACUGAGGUGGUAAAAGAUGGGCAUGCGUCUGAUUAGUUAGUUGGCAGUGUAACGGACUACCAAGACGAUGAUCAGUAGGGGACCUGAGAGGGUGAUCCCCCACACUGGCACUGAGAUACGGGCCAGACUCCUACGGGAGGCAGCAGUAGGGAAUACUGGACAAUGGGUGAGAGCCUGAUCCAGCCAUGCCGCGUGCAGGAAGAAGGCGUUAUGCGUUGUAAACUGCUUUUGCCAGGGGAUAAAACGGUUCUGCGGAACUAAUUGAAGGUACCUGGUGAAUAAGCCACGGCUAACUACGUGCCAGCAGCCGCGGUAAUACGUAGGUGGCAAGCGUUGUCCGGAUUUAUUGGGUUUAAAGGGUGCGUAGGCGGCCCUGUAAGUCAGUGCUGAAAUAUCCCGGCUUAACCGGGAGGGUGGCAUUGAUACUGCAGGGCUUGAGUACAGAUGAGGUAGGCGGAAUUGACGGUGUAGCGGUGAAAUGCAUAGAUAUCGUCAAGAACACCGAUAGCGAAGGCAGCUUACCAAGCUGUAACUGACGCUGAGGCACGAAAGUGUGGGGAUCAAACAGGAUUAGAUACCCUGGUAGUCCACACUGUAAACGUUGAUGACUCGAUGUUGGCGAUAUACAGCCAGCGUCCAAGAGCAAUCGUUAAGUCAUCCAC